rnacentral:rRNA from 1 species
UACAGAGGGUGCGAGCGUUGUCCGGAAUCACUGGGCGUAAAGGGCGCGUAGGCGGCUUGAUAAGGUUGCGGUGAAAGCCCGGGGCUCAACCCCGGGUCGGCCGUGGCAACUGUCGAGCUGGAGCACUGUAGAGGCAGGUGGAAUUCCGGGUGUAGCGGUGGAAUGCGUAGAGAUCCGGAAGAACACCGGUGGCGAAGGCGGCCUGCUGGGCAGUGGCUGACGCUGAGGCGCGCAGCG